UACGUAGGGUGCAAGCGUUGUCCGGAAUUAUUGGGCGUAAAGAGCUCGUAGGCGGUCUGUCGCGUCUGCUGUGAAAACUCGGGGCUUAACCCCGGGCCUGCAGUGGGUACGGGCAGACUAGAGUGCGGUAGGGGAGACUGGAAUUCCUGGUGUAGCGGUGGAAUGCGCAGAUAUCAGGAGGAACACCGAUGGCGAAGGCAGGUCUCUGGGCCGCAACUGACGCUGAGGAGCGAAAGCGUGGGGAGCGAACAGG
rnacentral:rRNA from 1 species